GAUGAACGCUGGCGGCGUGCCUAAUACAUGCCAGUCGAGCGAACGGACGAGAAGCUUGCUUCUCUGAUGUUAGCGGCGGACGGGUGAGUAACACGUGGAUAACCUACCUAUAAGACUGGGAUAACGGCGGGAAACCGGAGCUAAGACCGGAUAAUAUUUUGAACCGCAUGGUUCAAAAGUGAAAGACGGUCUUGCUGUCACUUAUAGAUGGAUCCGCGCUGCAUUAGCUAGUUGGUAAGGUAACGGCUUACCAAGGCAACGAUGCAUAGCCGACCUGAGAGGGUGAUCGCCCACACUGGAACUGGGACACGGUCCAGACUCCUACGGGAGGCAGCAGUAGGGAAUCUUCCGCAAUGGGCGAAAGCCUGACGGAGCAACGCCGCGUGAGUGAUGAAGGUCUUCGGAUCGUAAAACUCUGUUAUUAGGGAAGAACAUAUGUGUAAGUAACUGUGCACAUCUUGACGGUACCUACUCAGAAAGCCACGGCUAACUACGUG
rnacentral:rRNA from 1 species